rnacentral:misc_RNA from 1 species
UCUCCGUAGGUGAACCUGCGGAGGGAUCAUUACUGAGUGAGGGUCUCCGGGCCCGACCUCCAACCCUUUUGUGAACCACCUCGUUGCUUCGGGGGCGACCCGGCCCUCUGGGCGUCGGGGCCCCCGGUGGCUCACACCUCAACUCUUGCAUCUGUGCGUCUGAGUAACAUAUUGAAUCAAUCAAAACUUUCAACAACGGAUCUCUUGGUUCUGGCAUCGAUGAAGAACGCAGC